GGAACACGGAUGAGAUUAUAAUGACGCCGCAUUAGCCUAAUGUACACCGGAUCUUGACAUUUCAUUUUAAAGUUCACGUGGAAAAGAACGCUGGAAACUACUGAUGGAUCCUCAAGAUUUGAGAGCGACAGGAGAGGAAACGUGAGAACUGGAGACGUUCUGUCGGUUUGCUGAAGCCUUCAUGUGCAAUCAAGAAAAGCAAUCCUGUUCUCGUCUGGAUUUACCGUGUUAAACGAGGAGGUACGGCAGGAGUUAAUUGGCUGUUUCUAGCAGCCGCUGAGCUCUUAAAUGCAGUUUCUCUGUUAUUGGAUGAGAUUUCUUCUUCUUGCACUAAAGCAUCUUGGGA